UACGAAGGGGGCUAGCGUUGCUCGGAAUCACUGGGCGUAAAGGGUGCGUAGGCGGGUCUUUAAGUCCGGGGUGAAAUCCUGGAGCUCAACUCCAGAACUGCCUUUGAUACUGAGGAUCUUGAGUUCGGGAGAGGUGAGUGGAACUGCGAGUGUAGAGGCGAAAUUCGUAGAUAUUCGCAAGAACACCAGUGGCGAAGGCGGCUCACUGGCCCGAUACUGACGCUGAGGCACGAAAGCGUGGGGAGCAAACAGG
rnacentral:rRNA from 1 species